UCGGCUCAGUAACACGUAGCUAACCUACCCUAUAGCCCGUGAUAGCCUCGGGAAACUGAGGGUAAUAACGGAUAGGAGAUUUUUUCUGGAAUGAUUAAUCUUUGAAAUCUAGCGAUAGGAGGGGGCUGCGGCUGAUUAGGUAGUUGGCGGGGUAAUAGCCCACCAAGCCGAUGAUCAGUAAGGGCCUUUAGCGAGGAAGCCCUGAGAGGGAGUCUGAGAUACUACUCCCAGCCCUACGGGGUGCAGCAGGCGGGAAACUUCUGCAAUGUACGAAAGUAUGACAGAGCAAGCCAGAGUGCUUUUCCUUUUUGGAAAAGCUUUUGUGCGAUGUAAAAAGUCGCACGAAUAAGGACUGGGCAAGACUGGUGCCAGCCGCCGCGGUAAUCCCAGCAGUCCAAGUCGCAGCCACAGUUAUUGGGUCUAAAACAUCCGUAGCUUGCUUUUCAAGUCUUCUGUGAAAUCUGGCCUCUUAAGGGUCGGGCGCGCAGAAGAUACUGUUUAGCUAGAGACCGGGAGAUGUAAGAAGUACGUAUAGAGUAGCGGUAAAAUGCGUUGAUCCUAUAUGGACUAACGAUAGCGAAGGCAUCUUACAAUAACGGAUCUGACAGUGAGGGAUGAAGGCUAGGGGCGCAAAUUGGAUUAGAUACCCAAGUAGUCCUAGCAGUAAACACUGCACACUAAACAUUAGAACCUCUUCGAGAGGUCCUAGUGCUGAAGGGAAGCCGGAGAGUGUGCUACCUGGGAAGUAUAGUCGCAAGACCGAAACUUAAAGGAAUUGGCGGGGGAGCAC
rnacentral:rRNA from 1 species